UCAAUCAAAAAUUUAAUUUGUCAUCUUGAUAGUUUCAAGAUUUGCAAUAGAAACGUAAAAAUGCCUUUAACUUGUUUUCAGAAGCAUAUAAUGUGACAAAGACUUGACGAGGAUCUAAAAGUAAUUGCUGACGAACUAAACCAGGCACAGAACGUCCAAAAAUUACCAUCGAAAAUGAAGAGCGUGAACUCGUUCCAUCCCCGUGUUCCAUAUCCUCCUGACGUUUAUUUUGCUCAUGCGUUACCCAUCUGUAAUAAUCAUCACACUGAAUAAAAUAAUUCAAUUUGAA